rnacentral:ncRNA from 1 species
CAACCUCAACUCAUAUGGGACUACCCCCUGAAUUUAAGCAUAUUAAUUAGGGGAGGAAAAGAAACUAACAAGGAUUUUCUUAGUAGCGGCGAGCGAAAAGAAAUCAGUUCAGCACUAAGUCACUUUGUCUAUAUGGCAAAUGUGAGAUGCAGUGUAUGGAGCGUCAAUAUUCUAGUAUGAGAAAUUAACGAUUUAAGUCCUUCUUAAAUGAGGCCAUUUACCCAUAGAGGGUGCCAGGCCCGUAUAACGUUAAUGAUUACUAGAUGAUGUUUCCAAAGAGUCGUGUUGCUUGAUAGUGCAGCACUAAGUGGGUGGUAAACUCCAUCUAAAACUAAAUAUAACCAUGAGACCGAUAGUAAACAAGUACCGUGAGGGAAAGUUGAAAAGAACUCUGAAUAGAGAGUUAAAUAGUACGUGAAACUGCUUAGAGGUUAAGCCCGAUGAACCUGAAUAUCCGUUAUGGAAAAUUCAUCAUUAAAGUUAUAAUAUUUAAACAAUAUUAUACAAAUAAUGUGCAUUUUUUCCAUAUAAGGACAUUGUAAUCUAUUAACAUAUUAAAUUUAUCAUAAAAUAUGGCUUAUAGUUUAUUCAAAUUAUUAUGCUUGCAUUUUAACAUAGAAUAAAUGUCAUUAAUUUGAUAAAGUGUUGAUAGACUAAUAAGAAUACAGUGCGUUUAUUUUUUCGGAAAUUAUAUAAUGGCAUAAUUAUCAUUGAUUUUUUGUGCUUAUUAUAAGCACUUGUAUGAUUACAAUGCGAAAGAUUCAGGAUACCUUUCGGGACCCGUCUUGAAAACCGGA